rnacentral:lncRNA from 1 species
UUCUGCUUUGCUCAUCGAGACUCCUGGUGAUACCUCCCUAAUUUUAUUCCUGGGCCCUAUUGCCCAGGAGCAAAGAUCAAUUCCAGUAUCAAUCAAGGUCAUGUCCAAGGCUUGAAAUGUAAUGAAGAAUGAAAAUUGUGCAUUUUUCCCUCUGGUGCUUGCCUGCUGAGGGAGUUCCCAUGGUGGGUCAGUGGUAACAAACCUGACUAGUAUCCAUGGAGAAGCAGGUUCGAUCCCUGGCCUCACUCAGUGGGUUACCUAUCCACCGUUGCCAUGAGCUGUGGUGUAAAUCACUGAAGCAGCUCAGAUCCUGUGUGGCUAUGGCUGUGGCUGUGGCUGGCAGCUGCAGCUCCAAUUCCACCCCUGGCCUGGGAACACUCACACACUACAUGUGUGGCCCUAAAAAAAAAAAAAAUGUGCAGUCACCCCGCUUCCAUGAGGAGUUGCCCUCUGACCAGGCCACUGGGAGAUGCAGCACCUGCGAGGAGAUCCAUCCCUGAGCCGAAAAUAAACACUGCUGCUUCUUUGCAGUUACCAUUAGCCCAAGUACAGAAAUAAAUAAAUAAAUACAGGAAAUUAUAGUCUCAUUAAAUACAAGCAGGAUCAACUACAAUAAGGCACACUAAAUCGGUUAUACAAUUUAUAACUUCAUUUAAAAAGCAAAAUAAUUUGAAAUCACCAAUCACUUAAGUGAAGGCAGAAGCUAUGUGGUGGCCAGUACCUGAGCCAGUGAAUCAACAGAAGUCCCAGAUCUCAGGUUGUGACACAUGUGAUGCAUGAUGCUUCAUGAAGAUACAAAAUGAAAUUGCUAGGUUUUGAGGGGUCCCCUGGGUGCAUGAAAAAAACCAAUUCUUCUUCUGAAAGUCCUUUGAUUUAAAAAUAUGGUUAGGCUUUGAAAUAAUCUUAAGCCUUUAAUAUUAAUUAACAGAAGAGAAGUAUUUAUUAAAAUGUUUAUCAAAUAGUGAUAAACUGGAGCCUGGUUGAUUGAUGUCAGUAUUUGAUUUACCCUCAACUGAAGGUGCCAGACUAUUAAGCCUGUAUGCAUGAUAACAGUUUUGCCUUUGGUGGGUGAGAUAAAUAUCCAGGUUAGGCUUUGUAAAAUCUCAGGCUCUUGACAACUCACAGACUCCUAGACUUCUUGAGUUCCUGCCCUGUCACUCUUCACAGUUUUCUGUAAUAACAUUGUUGGGGAUAAGUUCCAGGACAUAGGUGAACCUAGAGUUCCAGUUUCAUGAUCACACCAGCCUUGGACUUGGUGAUGUUAUGGAGGUAGGUACACUGUUCAAGGAGCUGAGACAAAAGAAGCCAGCUUAGCCAAUGGCCAACUCAAAUUAGAAGUUCAAAAGUGGCCUCUUGGAAGCCAGCCUCUGAGAGGUGGGCAUCUCACCAGUUUGUGAGGUCCUUCAGAUCCAGCCACCACAAACAUGUCAGCAGCCUCUUGGUUACUUAGAAAACCCAGAGCUCACAGAGUCAACCUAAGUCCCUCCAGUCUGUUGUCAAUGAAUUUAUGCCACAUUACUUUAUAAAUUUGCAACUUUUGGAAGCCAGUGUACUUUGUUUUCUUUUCAACAAUAUGACGUUAUUUUUUCAUAUUAUAAAACUACUAUGUUCUCAUCAUAUUUAUGGGAAAUAAAGGGAAAAAAAUUACAUCUAUCCUCUCAAAACAACUAUGCUAAGAAUUAGACAUAUUUCAUCCCCCAUUUUUUUUCUCUAACCACUUUUAUUUUUCCAUAUUAUUAAUGAGCCGCUUGCUAUUUUGAAUGGGGAUUUUCUGCAGGCAAUGUGCUCUUCCUUUUUUCCUUCUUUCACCAGACAGCCAUUGGCUGGGCUCAGCCCUAAGAGGGCAGAGAUAGAAUGUUGGUGAACUUUAUUUGUAUUCAUCUGGUUGGAGCUCAGUUACAGCUGUCUAGGAUCAUAUUCUGUUCUUAUUUAUACUUUAAAAUCCCUUCUCUGAAUCGCGCCUUCUUUAUUUGGUAAACAAAUGGAAAUACAGCAAACUUUAUCUGUGUGUCUGUUUUGAAUCAGCUUGGAGUUUCUGAUGAGUGUGUCCCCUGCACACACUCAAAUUUCAAUGCACAUACAACAUUGUGUGUAUGUGAGAAAGAAGAAGUGGUGGGAAGUUGUGCAACGCCAGUGUUGUAAGUGGUGGACCUUAUUGACAUUGUCUCUGUGAGGAUGUGGGUUUGAUCCCUGGCCUGGCUCAGUGGGUUAAGGAUCCAGGACUGGCCCAAGCUGCAGCAUAGGUCUCAGAUGUGGUUCACAUCUGGUGUUGCUGUGGCUGUAGCAUAGGUCUCAGCUGCAGCUCCAAUUUGACUCCUGGCCUUGGAACUUCCAUAUGC